UACGAAGGGGGCUAGCGUUGCUCGGAAUUACUGGGCGUAAAGCGCGCGUAGGCGGGUCGUUAAGUCGGGGGUGAAAUCCUGGAGCUCAACUCCAGAACUGCCUUCGAUACUGGCGAUCUUGAGUCCGGGAGAGGUGAGUGGAACUCCGAGUGUAGAGGUGAAAUUCGUAGAUAUUCGGAAGAACACCAGUGGCGAAGGCGGCUCACUGGCCGGUACUGACGCUG
rnacentral:rRNA from 1 species